CCUUCGAUAGCUCAGUUGGUAGAGCGGAGGACUGUAGGUGUUGGAUCAUCGGUCAUCCUUAGGUCGCUGGUUCGAGUCCGGCUCGAAGGA
rnacentral:tRNA from 1 species